CCCUUAGAUGUCCUGGGCCGCACGCGCGCUACACUGAGUGUCUGAGAUACGAGUCUGCCCGGUCCGGCAAGGUCUAGGUAAUCGCUAAAAGACACAUCAUGCUUGGGAUAGAUUAUUGCAAAUAUUAAUCUUGAACGAGGAAUUCCUAGUAAGCGCAAGUCAACAGCUUGCGUUGAUUACGUCCCUGCCCUUUGUACACACCGCCCGUCGCUACUACUGAUUGGAUGUUUAAGCGAGGUUCUCGAACUGCUAGCGACUUAGCUUCGGUGAGGUCGCAGUGUGGGAAGUGAACCGAGCUUUGGUGUCUAGAGGAAGUAAAAGUCGUAACA
rnacentral:rRNA from 1 species